rnacentral:rRNA from 1 species
CGGGCGACGCGCCGGUCUAAGUCCCUUGGAACGGGGCGUCAUAGAGGGUGAGAAUCCCGUAUGUGACCGGGGACCGAGCCCAUGUGAAACUCCUUCGACGAGUCGAGUUGUUUGGGAAUGCAGCUCAAAAUGGGUGGUAAAUUUCAUCUAAAGCUAAAUACCGGCCAGAGACCGAUAGCGCACAAGUAGAGUGAUCGAAAGAUGAAAAGCACUUUGGAAAGAGAGUCAAACAGUACGUGAAAUUGUUGAAAGGGAAGCGCUUGCAACCAGACCUGCCCGCGGGCGAUCAGCCGUUCUUCUGGGCGGUGCACUCGCCCGUGAUCAGGCCAGCAUCGGUUCGGGCGGCCGGAGAAAGGCCUUGGGAACGUAGCUCCUUUCGGGGAGUGUUAUAGCCCUCGGCGCAAUGCGGCCAGCCCGGACCGAGGACCGCGCUUCGGCUAGGAUGCUGGCGUAAUGGUUGUAAGCGGCCCGUCUUGAAACACGGACCAAGGAGUCUAACAUCUAUGCGAGUGUUUGGGUGUCAAACCCAUACGCGUAAUGAAAGUGAACGGAGGUGGGAACCCUUCGGGGCGCACCAUCGACCGAUCCAGAUGUCUUCGGAUGGAUUUGAGUACGAGCAUAGCUGUUGGGACCCGAAAGAUGGUGAACUAUGCCUGAAUAGGGUGAAGCCAGAGGAAACUCUGGUGGAGGCUCGCAGCGGUUCUGACGUGCAAAUCGAUCGUCAAAUUUGGGCAUAGGGGCGAAAGACUAAUCGAACCAUC